rnacentral:rRNA from 1 species
CCUACGGGUGGCUGCAGUGAGGAAUAUUGGUCAAUGGGCGCGAGCCUGAACCAGCCAAGUAGCGUGAAGGAUGACUGCCCUACGGGUUGUAAACUUCUUUUAUAAAGGAAUAAAGUGAGGCACGUGUGCCUUUUUGUAUGUACUUUAUGAAUAAGGAUCGGCUAACUCCGUGCCAGCAGCCGCGGUAAUACGGAGGAUCCGAGCGUUAUCCGGAUUUAUUGGGUUUAAAGGGAGCGUAGAUGGGUUGUUAAGUCAGUUGUGAAAGUUUGCGGCUCAACCGUAAAAUUGCAAUUGAUACUGGCAGUCUUGAGUACAGUUGAGGUAGGCGGAAUUCGUGGUGUAGCGGUGAAAUGCUUAGAUAUCGCGCAGAACCCCGAUUGCGAAGGCAGCGUGCCGUGCCGCCACUGACGCUGAGGCACGAAAGCGCGGGGAUCGAACAGGAUUAGAUACCCGGGUAGUC